GACGAACGCUGGCGGCGUGCUUAACACAUGCAAGUCGAACGGAAAGGCCCUGCUUUUGUGGGGUGCUCGAGUGGCGAACGGGUGAGUAACACGUGAGUAACCUGCCCUUGACUUUGGGAUAACUUCAGGAAACUGGGGCUAAUACCGGAUAGGAGCUCCUGCUGCAUGGUGGGGGUUGGAAAGUUUCGGCGGUUGGGGAUGGACUCGCGGCUUAUCAGCUUGUUGGUGGGGUAGUGGCUUACCAAGGCUUUGACGGGUAGCCGGCCUGAGAGGGUGACCGGCCACAUUGGGACUGAGAUACGGCCCAGACUCCUACGGGAGGCAGCAGUGGGGAAUAUUGCACAAUGGGCGGAAGCCUGAUGCAGCAACGCCGCGUGCGGGAUGACGGCCUUCGGGUUGUAAACCGCUUUCGCCUGUGACGAAGCGUGAGUGACGGCAAUGGGUAAAGAAGCACCGGCUAACUACG
rnacentral:rRNA from 1 species